rnacentral:rRNA from 1 species
UGCGUAGGCGGGUCUUUAAGUCAGGGGUGAAAUCCUGGAGCUCAACUCCAGAACUGCCUUUGAUACUGAGGAUCUUGAGUUCGGGAGAGGUGAGUGGAACUGCGAGUGUAGAGGUGAAAUUCGUAGAUAUUCGCAAGAACACCAGUGGCGAAGGCGGCUCACUGGCCCGAUACUGACGCUGAGGCAGAAAGCGUGGGGAGACAAACGA